rnacentral:rRNA from 1 species
GAUGAACGCUGGCGGCGUGCCUAAUACAUGCAAGUCGAGCGAACGGACGAGAAGCUUGCUUUUCUGAUGUUAGCGGCGGACGGUUGAGUAACACGUGGAUAACCUACCUAUAAGACUGGGAUAACUUCGGGAAACCGGAGCUAAUACCGGAUAAUAUUUUGAACCGCAUGGUUCAAAAGUGAAAGACGGUCUUGCUGUCACUUAUAGAUGGAUCCGCGCUGCAUUAGCUAGUUGGUAAGGUAACGGCUUACCAAGGCAACGAUGCAUAGCCGACCUGAGAGGGUGAUCGGCCACACUGGAACUGAGACACGGUCCAGACUCCUACGGGAGGCAGCAGUAGGGAAUCUUCCGCAAUGGGCGAAAGCCUGACGGAGCAACGCCGCGUGAGUGAUGAAGGUCUUCGGAUCGUAAAACUCUGUUAUUAGGGAAGAACAUAUGUGUAAGUAACUGUGCACAUCUUGACGGUACCUAAUCAGAAAGCCACGGCUAACUACGUG